GCGGGCUGCAGCAAAGCCGGGAAAGGAAACGCCCACCGGAUCUAGACGUGCCUGCGCGCCUGCGCGCACGCACAAGCGCGACAGGGUCCCUGCUUCUCGACGGUGCGCGAACACGCACCCCAGCAAAGCGCGAGAGCGUCCACACGGCAGGCAGACCACACGCCGUGCGGGCCCCUCUCCGGAGAAUGUGAGCCAUGAAGGCAGGAGCCACGUGUCCUUCACGGCUGUAUCCCUAGCACCCAAAAGAGUGUCACCGAACGACUGAAUGAAGGAUGAGCUUUGGAAGGAAUGGGGCCGGAAGCGGCAGACAGUGGGACAGACGGCAGGACGGGGAGGCUUCCAAGGACGAGGUGCUCUACCUGGCGGUAUUCUGAGGAAGCAGGGGUGCUUGCUGGUGGCUGUUUCGUUUUCUGAGUCUUGGCUUUACCUUCCUUCCUGGCCCCUUCCACGGGCUCAGCGGGCCGGGUUACAGCAGCAUCUUCCUGGAGGAGACAAAGGCCCCGGACGUCAGGGCGCAGGUGCCGCGAUGGCAUGAGGGCCAGCACUGGCCGCCACCAGCCCAGGAGAGGGGCCGGCAGCUCCGGGAGGGGCACCGUCCCCAGGGACGUGUCCCCAGUGCCCCUCCUGGGCAGGGAGGCGACGUGGGACUGCUUGGGAGAGCAAACGGUCGGGGCAGGUGCGCCUACAGCCAGCAGGACACAUGGGGCCUCCCCGAAGCGAGAUUUCCUGGCCUGUCUGACCACAGACACCCAACUACCGUCGUGGGGCGAGAAAGAGGCUUUAGAGAGGUCACUGAAGGCGAUGACUUCUCCAGCGUCCCAGGGCCCACGGAGCACUCGAAAGCUUGCUAAUGUGCGGACGGUGACCGGGCAGGUGCGGGGGACCCGGGAGGACUCUGCAUCUCCAAGGAGCCACUGCGGGGCGGGGGGGCUGCUGGGGAGCAGCAGACCAGCUCUGUUCUGACCAGGCCCUGGCUGCAGCAUCACCACUAGGCCUCCCGAGGGUUCGAACCCCGGCCGGGCCGAGAACCACUGAUUCGGCAGAAGGCAGCCUGCACAGACACGUGGCCCACGGCCCUCUGCAGAAUCUUCUCCGACUCAGCUCGAGGCUUGCUUCAGCCGAGCUGCACACUGACUGAUCGAGGAACCUGGAAAGAACCCGGUGCCAGGCACAAGGAACGAGACAGCAGGACGCAUUCCUCCCCCGCGAAGCCAGUGGGUUAGUAAGAGCGACAGGCUACUGACCAUUUGAGCCUGUGGAAAACGCCAAGGACAGAGGCGCUCCAGGGCCUGGGAUCUCAGAGGGGGUCCCUAGCCCGGAAGGCUUCCUGGAGGAGACGGUGCGGGCCGAGUCAGAGAGACACAAAGCCCACCAAGAUGGCUUCGUCCGUCCCACAAAGAGUACCGGGGCCCGUACCGUCUGUGAGUGGCCAGAAACCUCUCACCCAGAAUCAAAGUCGAAGCGUGGCCGGGGGACCUCUGCUCACUGCCUGCCUGCCUCAUCCUGGGCUUGUCCCGCUCUGGCCUCCGGUACGAAUCCUGUUUUUUUCUUCUCUGUAGCUUAUGAUGCUUUGACAGUGUAGGGGCCUUGCCAGUCCUGGCGACCACCCCUCCCAGGGCUAGCUCAUUCCCAGAGGGGGCAGAAGACUCCCUCCCGUAGGCAAACUAAUCAACCCAGAGCCCACACCCCGACUCACCUCCCUCAGCCACUACUCCUCGGCCCUAAAUCACCCCAGGGCCGGGUUCCCAAGGACUAGACACCCCUACAGCCCAGAGUUCACCAGGACUAUUCAGACUAGCCAAUCCUAGACUUGCUCAAACGUGCCUUCCCUAUCGUUACUCCACCUCCUGACCACCCAGAAGCUUCCCGGCCUGGCAAGGCCCCUCCUCUUGUGACUCAGCAUCUCCAUCAGUUAAAUAAAUCCCAGCACAGAUUGGUCCUGACGCCUCCUUGCUGGGCCCUCCUGCAGAUCCCUCCCUCCUCCAGUGCCGUGCCCCACGUCCCUGACACCCUCUGUAGGAAAGCGAGCCCUCCCAGACCAUGGCCUCUGGUCACUAGACGCCCAUUCAUUUUCUCCCACUGCAGAACGUAAGCCUCUGUCCACGGCCACACCUGCACUGUCUAGAAUUCCUGGCCCACUGCAGGGGCCCGAACAUUUUUGUUUCAUUAAACACAUUCCUCGGGAAGCCUCCUGCGUUCCUCUGCAGCCGACCGGUGUCUCUCCCGCAUGGGACCCUCGGGACCCCACACCCCUCAGCCCGGAGCCGGGGUCCGCUCGUAUCCUACAGUGGGUUUUGACUUUUCUGAUUUGCAACGUGUCUUUCCCCCCCUUUACCUUGUUUCCUCCUUUUCGUAUUCUUAUUUUAUUGGGCUUUUUAUGAGCUGCUCCAAAUCCUUCUAGAACAAGAUGUAUACUUUGUACAGGUGACUUCUGGUUCUCUUAACAGACAUCUGAGGGGUGGGUGUGUACCAGGCAGCUGUCCACGGCUCCACAGUUGGGGGACCAGCACGCCAGAGACAGCACGGCUCAGGCUAAAAUCUAAACCGCUCCCUUGGCAGAAAUCAAGGUUUUAUCCGUCUGUGUUCCUAGUUGUCGUGGCCUGUGGUUUUACAUGUUCUGGAUACGGAUAUUUGCCUCAAGGCAAAACUAAAGACCGUAACAGUCAGGAACAUGUACACCUUAACACUCCUCGGACUGGGAACACACACACAGCGGACCGAAGUCGAGGGCAUGGGUCACGACCUCUGGGUGUGGGGAGUGGGCAGGGGGCAGCGGGGAGGAGACCCCGAUAGUUCUGAUUUCCAUGCUUAAGUGGAUGGUGGGGGUGAGCGUUCACCUUGUGAGCCCUGCGUCUGCGUCAUAAAUGUCCUCUGUUGUGGGAUUAACAUUUAAUGAAAACAUUUUUUGAAGUUUUCUGACCAGUAGGGGAUGCUAAGAAGCCUUCCGGGGCCUGGAAUGUUCUGUCUCUGGAUGCGGAGGGCGUUGCCAGGCUGCACGGGUGCACCUCGAUUCAAAAACUAUACCACGCCAGCCCUUAGCGCACACACAAAGGCUACUCCCACUCCUGCCCAAAGAGAAUUGACUAGAAAAAAAAUUAGUUUGCUGAUUCUUGGAGUUUUUUUUUUCUUUUUAUCAAAACGCACCUCUGAUGUUACAACCCGCACCCAUUUAUUUCUCCAACAAACAAACCACAAACCUCCCAGACACACAGCACAGAGGGGGGCAGGGUCUGCGGGGACCCCGGCCCCUGUCCACUCACCCAAAUGCUGGAUCAGGGUUACACGGGGUGGGGGGUUGCUGCUGGGGACCCUGGAGAGGCACCAUGGUGGGGUGUGGGGGUGACAGGUGGGGGCAGUGCAGUGGGGACCCGGGAUGAGCCCCACUAAUCGGAUAGAAGGCUGAGAUGUUGGAGUCCAGCCCCAGCCUGGGCUGACUCGGGGAGGAAUUAGGAAUUCAGACAACAGUGUCCCCUUUCCCCGCUGGCCUCACACUUCCUUCUCAGAAGCCGGCCCUGCCAGGGCUGUUUUCUGCAGGAGCCAGUCCCGCCGUCUCCUGCCAGCUCCAGCAGGGGUGAGGACACAGACCUUCUAAACUGAGGCAUACGU